GCGACUGGAAGGGCAAUGUGUCAUUCUGGCAGAGGACUGCAGUUUCUCCAAGUACUACCCUGGCUGUUCUUAUGGUUUUCAUGUACAAGAUGAGGAGACUGAGAUGCAGAAGCAUGAAGAUGCCCAGUGUCAAUUGGCUGGGGCACGGCCCGCUGCCACGAGCUCUUUGUCCACCAUCAUCUUCCUCAAUUCUGAAGGGUCUCUGGAACCAACAUACGGUGAUGGUCUGCUUUUCCACUCAUGAAGGAGGGAGACUUUGUGUCUCUGAAGAGUCACAGCACCAAAGAUAUCUGACGUGCACUCUAAUAAGCUAAAGGGCAGUUUGCCCAUUUGGGCUGAAAAUGGAAAAUACACAGAUACACAUAAAAACGCCCUAAAAAGAAAUGAAAACCGGCCAACACAUGGAAACACCCUGACGUGAGACCAACUCAACAGGCCAAAGGAAGGCCUGGGGCCAUGGUGGCCAAGAGACGUUCAGCUACACCCUCCGACAGCACAAUCGGCCCCUUCAUUACGUGGAAGAAGCUGCACAAGGCACCCAGAAUAAAAGCCACUUUGUUUAGCAUUCCAAAGGCGUUCCCAGUGUCCCCCAGAGUCCUCGUUAGUUACCUGGAGAAUU